rnacentral:rRNA from 1 species
GCCAUGCAUGUCUAAGUAUAAGCAAUUAUACAGCGAAACUGCGAAUGGCUCAUUAUAUAAGUUAUCGUUUAUUUGAUAGUACCUUACUACUUGGAUAACCGUGGUAAUUCUAGAGCUAAUACAUGCUAAAAAUCCCGACUUCGGAAGGGAUGUAUUUAUUAGAUUAAAAACCAAUGCCCUCCGGGGCUCACUGGUGAUUCAUGAUAACUCCUCGAAUCGCAUGGCCUUGCGCCGGCGAUGGUUCAUUCAAAUUUCUUCCCUAUCAACUUUCGAUGUUUGGGUAUUGGCCAAACAUGGUUGCAACGGGUAACGGAGGGUUAGGGCUCGACCCCGGAGAAGGAGCCUGAGAAACGGCUACUACAUCCAAGGAAGGCAGCAGGCGCGCAAAUUACCCAAUCCCGACUCGGGGAGGUAGUGACAAUAAAUACUGAUACAGGGCUCUUUUGGGUCUUGUAAUUGGAAUGAGUACAAUUUAAAUCCCUUAACGAGGAACAAUUGGAGGGCAAGUCUGGUGCCAGCAGCCGCGGUAAUUCCAGCUCCAAUAGCGUAUAUUAAAGUUGUUGUGGUUAAAAAGCUCGUAGUUGAACCUUGGGCCUGGCUGGCCGGUCCGCCUCACCGCGUGUACUGGUCCGGCCGGGCCUUUCCCUCUGUGGAACCCCAUGCCCUUCACUGGGUGUGGCGGGGAAACAGGACUUUUACUGUGAAAAAAUUAGAGUGCUCCAGGCAGGCCUAUGCUCGAAUACAUUAGCAUGGAAUAAUAGAAUAGGACGUGUGGUUCUAUUUUGUUGGUUUCUAGGACCGCCGUAAUGAUUAAUAGGGACA